rnacentral:rRNA from 1 species
AUUGAACGCUGGCGGCAUGCCUUACACAUGCAAGUCGAACGGUAACAGGUCUUCGGAUGCUGACGAGUGGCGAACGGGUGAGUAAUACAUCGGAACGUGCCCGAUCGUGGGGGAUAACGAAGCGAAAGCUUUGCUAAUACCGCAUACGAUCUACGGUUGAAAGCAGGGGACCGCAAGGCCUUGCGCGAACGGAGCGGCCGAUGGCAGAUUAGGUAGUUGGUGGGAUAAAAGCUUACCAAGCCGACGAUCUGUAGCUGGUCUGAGAGGACGACCAGCCACACUGGGACUGAGACACGGCCCAGACUCCUACGGGAGGCAGCAGUGGGGAAUUUUGGACAAUGGGCGAAAGCCUGAUCCAGUCAUGCCGCGUGCAGGAUGAAGGCCUUCGGGUUGUAAACUGCUUUUGUACGGAACGAAAAGACUCUGGUUAAUACCUGGGGUCCAUGACGGUACCGUAAGAAUAAGCACCGGCUAACUACGUG